rnacentral:rRNA from 1 species
UCGAUGGUAGGAUAGAGGCCUACCAUGGUGGUAACGGGUAACGGGGUGUUAGGGCACGACACCGGAGAGGGAGCCUGAGAAACGGCUACCACAUCCAAGGAUGGCAGCAGGCGCGCAAAUUACCCAAUCCCGACACGGGGAGGUAGUGACAAUAAAUAACAAUACGGGGUUCUUUAGGAUCUCGUAAUUGGAAUGAGUACAAUUUAAAUCUCUUAACGAGGAACAAUUGGAGGGCAAGUCUGGUGCCAGCAGCCGCGGUAAUUCCAGCUCCAAUAGCGUAUAUUAAAGUUGUUGCAGUUAAAAAGCUCGUAGUUGAAUUUCGGGGUUAGUAGGUCGGUCAUGCCUCUGGUAUGUACUGGUCUCACUGAUUCCUCCUUCCUGAUGAACCGUAAUGCCAUUAAUUUGGUGUUGCGGGGAAUUUGGACUGUUACUUUGAAAAAAUUAGAGUGUUUAAAGCAAGCUAACGCUUGAAUACAUUAGCAUGGAAUAAUGAAAUAGGACAUCCGAUUCUAUUUUGUUGGUUUCUAGGAUCGAUGUAAUGAUUAAUAGGGAUAGUUGGGGGCAUUAGUAUUCAAUUGUCAGAGGUGAAAUUCUUGGAUUUAUUGAAGACUAACUACUGCGAAAGCAUUUGCCAAGGAUGUUUUCAUUAAUCAAGAACGAAAGUUAGGGGAUCGAAGACGAUCAGAUACCGUCGUAGUCUUAACCAUAAACUAUGCCGACUAGGGAUCGGAUGAUGUUAAUUUUUUAAUGACUCAUUCGGCGCCUUACGGGAAACCAAAGUGUUUGGGUUC